ACUCCUACGGGAGGCAGCAGUGGGGAAUAUUGCACAAUGGGCGCAAGCCUGAUGCAGCAACGCCGCGUGAGGGACGACGGCCUUCGGGUUGUAAACCUCUUUUAGUAGGGAAGAAGCGAAAGUGACGGUACCUGCAGAAAAAGCACCGGCUAACUACGUGCCAGCAGCCGCGGUAAUACGUAGGGUGCAAGCGUUAUCCGGAAUUAUUGGGCGUAAAGAGCUCGUAGGCGGUUUGUCGCGUCUGCUGUGAAAACUGGAGGCUCAACCUCCAGCCUGCAGUGGGUACGGGCAGACUAGAGUGCGGUAGGGGAGAUUGGAAUUCCUGGUGUAGCGGUGGAAUGCGCAGAUAUCAGGAGGAACACCGAUGGCGAAGGCAGAUCUCUGGGCCGUAACUGACGCUGAGGAGCGAAAGCAUGGGGAGCGAACAGGAUUAGAUACCCUGGUAGUCCAUGCCGUAAACGUUGGGAACUAGAUGUAGGGUCCAUUCCACGGAUUCUGUGUCGCAGCUAACGCAUUAAGUUCCCCGCCUGGGGAGUACGGCCGCAAGGCUAAAACUCAAAGGAAUUGACGGGGGCCCGCACAAGCGGCGGAGCAUGCGGAUUAAUUCGAUGCAACGCGAAGAACCUUACCAAGGCUUGACAUAUACCGGAAAAGUUCAGAAAUGUUCUCCCCGCAAGGUCGGUAUACAGGUGGUGCAUGGUUGUCGUCAGCUCGUGUCGUGAGAUGUUGGGUUAAGUCCCGCAACGAGCGCAACCCUCGUUCUAUGUUGCCAGCACGUAAUGGUGGGAACUCAUAGGAGACUGCCGGGGUCAACUCGGA
rnacentral:rRNA from 1 species